AGAGUUUGAUCCUGGCUCAGGACGAACGUUGGCGGUGCGCUUAAUGCAUGCAAGUCGAGGGAGAACCUUUCGAUCCGUAAGGACCGAAUGGGGAAACCGGCGAACGGGUGCGUAACACGUGAGGAACCUGCCCCGAAGACCGGGAUAGCCCGAGGAAACUCGGAUUAAUACCGGAUACCCUCCUCGGACCACAUGGUCUGUUGAGGAAAUGGUCCGCCGCUUCGGGAUGGCCUCGCGGCCUAUCAGCUUGUUGGUGAGGUAAUGGCUCACCAAGGCAAAGACGGGUAGCUGGUCUGAGAGGACGAUCAGCCACACUGGGACUGAGACACGGCCCAGACUCCUACGGGAGGCAGCAGCAGGGAAUAUUGCACAAUGGGCGAAAGCCUGAUGCAGCGACACCGCGUGCGGGAUGAAGGCCCUCGGGUUGUAAACCGCUUUCAGGAGGGACGAAAAUGACGGUACCUCCAGAAGAAGGCCCGGCCAACUACGUGCCAGCAGCCGCGGUAAUACGUAGGGGCCAAACGUUGUCCGGAUUUAUUGGGCGUAAAGGGCUCGUAGGCGGUUCAACAAGUCGAUCGUGAAAGCCCGGGGCUCAACCCCGGGACGCCGGUCGAAACUGUUGUGACUAGGGUCCGGUAGAGGUGAGUGG
rnacentral:rRNA from 1 species